AACAAAAACCAAAAAACAAACAAACAAACAAACACCAGUACAACCCCAAAUAUAGACAAGCAGCUCUCUUUGUACCACUGGAGCUUGCUGUCACAGCUCAAGCAGAGGAAAUAGUAGAUUUGCCUGUGUACGUUCGGGGUUAUGCCAACUCAGUGACACUUGGUGUCUGUAAUACACGCAAAUCCUUAAUGUACACAAAAUCUUCCCUGCCUCCCCUAAUCAUAUGCAUCCUGCAAACAGGCCAGAACUCGUGGAUUAAAUCUACUGAGGCCCAAAAUAAAUUAAAUCUCCGAAUCACAGUAAGCUUGCAAGCCGCGGCCAUUCAAAUUGAAGUUUGUCAUUAUUUACGUCAAUUUUCCUGGCCUCCCACACAGCCUGCAAGUACCCAAUGUUCCUACAGCAACAGCAGAGCCCGUACUCUGUGUCCUGGUACUGCUGAGAAAGUUAGUUCUUUUAAAGACAACACAAAGUAAAAGAAAUGCCCUUCUUCUGAUGACUCUAGGGAAACACAAUAUACCCUCAGGGAUACGUUGCAUCCUCAGGAGGGAAUUACCGGGGUUCCUAACUCCCGAUGGCUGGGGCAAUAAACAUUACACAAGCAACUGUUUGCUCAGGGAGCAUUUUUUCCCCAGCAAUCCGGCAAUUCCCCAGCACACCUCCCACAGCAGCUGGCCGGGCACCUUCUGCGGCCCAGGCAGGUAUGGCCCAAGCCUCACAAACCGAUGCUCGGCCCUACAGUGGGCACGAGCUCAGGAUCAAAGCCGUGACGUGGGAGCCUGAAGACAUCCCAAUUGCCCAUCCACUUUGCUCGCCCCUUCUCCUCUUCCCCUCCGCAGGGGCACCACUGGGGCCAGGGGAUCGCACCGCCGCGGCCGCCGGCCUGUCACACCUGGCUUUUCUCCUCCUGCUUGGGGCUCUGGGCCGACGACGAGGAUGGUGGCGGCGGUGGAGGUGGCGGCGCGGCCUGCGGCUCGCUCUCGGCACGCUGGUGCCUGCUGACGAGCGACUUGAGGGGCGCCAUCCACUUCAUCCAGAGGUCCAGGUCGACGUCGCCCCACGGCAGGUUGGGGUCCUUGGCCGCCCGCCGCCGAAAGUCCUCGUCGUAGCUCAUCCACGAGGUGCCCCCGUAGGUGGCGUGCAGCUUGCGGAUGGUGUCCAGGUACUUGAACAUGGCCCCGCAGCGCGCCGGGUGCUUCUCGCACACCACGCUGGCGUACACCAGAAAGGCGGAGACCCACUGGUCCAGCGUGUCCCCCGGCCGCGGGCCGUGCUCGGGGGCCAGCUCUGA
rnacentral:lncRNA from 1 species